rnacentral:lncRNA from 1 species
CAGAGCCGAAGCUUGGCUUUGGCUGAGGAGCUGUGAGAGUGUGAGGCUCUGCAUUUUGUGCACCUUUGAGAGAUCGUCUUCCUCUGAGGAAUUUCAUUGCAUCUAAUCAAUUGUGGUUCCGAAGUUCCUGAAGAUCACUGAGUCCGUUCGGCAGGUGGUCUACAGAGGAUUCAGCUGGUAUCUUUCCUUGGUGUACACAGUACUAGGAUAACUCAACCGGCUGGCUUGUCAAUUUGCCAGCUGUGGUGGUGGGACUAAAGGAAGAGGAUUUCACUUAGAAGCAAAUUCUGGCUC